rnacentral:RNase_P_RNA from 1 species
UGAGCAGGCCAGGUGGUCGCUGGCUUUCCGGCUCUGAUGCCGGGGGGGCGAGAGGAAAGUCCGGGCUCCGCAGGGCAGGGUGCUGGGUAACACCCAGUCCCGGUGACGGGAAGGAAAGUGCCACAGAAAAGAGACCGCCGAGCACUCAGGCGGUAUAAUAGAAACUCUUAAAAUGUUUCGAAGACAAUAAGUAUACUAGGUUUUAAGACUAAUAUUAUACUGAGUGCUCGGUAAGGGUGAAACGGUGAGGUAAGAGCUCACCAGUCCUGCUGGUGACAGCAGGAGCUAGGCAAACCCCACCCGGAGCAAGACCAAAUAGGAGGACGUCUGAGGAUGGCCCGUCCGAGUCCUCGGGUAGGUCGCUUGAGGUUGCGGGUAACCGUAACCCUAGAUAAAUGACCAUCACCCCGCACCCAUUUUUGGAGCUGUUGAGGUUUCUGUGACGUAUUGGUUCUACUCCAACGUUCAAAUAGAGGCCUGGAAGCAGUUCUUAAAGUGGGUGUGGGGAACAGAACCCGGCUUAUGGCCUGCUCAGCUU